rnacentral:rRNA from 1 species
AACGAACGCUGGCGGCAGGCUUAACACAUGCAAGUCGAGCGCCCCGCAAGGGGAGCGGCAGACGGGUGAGUAACGCGUGGGAAUCUACCCAUCUCUACGGAAUAACGCAUGGAAACGUGUGCUAAUACCGUAUACGUCCUUCGGGAGAAAGAUUUAUCGGAGAUGGAUGAGCCCGCGUUGGAUUAGCUAGUUGGUAGGGUAAAGGCCUACCAAGGCGACGAUCCAUAGCUGGUCUGAGAGGAUGAUCAGCCACAAGGGGACUGAGACACGGCCCAGACUCCUACGGGAGGCAGCAGUGGGGAAUAUUGGACAAUGGGCGCAAGCCUGAUCCAGCCAUGCCGCGUGAGUGAUGAAGGCCCUAGGGUUGUAAAGCUCUGUCACCGGUGAAGGUAAUGACGGUAACCGGAGAAGAAGCCCCGGCUAACUUCGUGCCAGCCGCCGCUGUAAGAC